UCUCCCUCCUCUCGCGACUCCCCUCUGUUUUAGUUUUAGGGUUCCUUCACUCUCUCCUGAGCGUUCUCCCUGUCCACUCCAGUGUCCCCACUCUCUCGACGCCGACUCAGCUCGCUCCUCUCGACACCACUCACCACUCUCAAUGCCGCUCCCCCUCCCCUCGACUGCGCUCGACGUCGCUUGGUCCUUCGACGCCCACUCGACGCCUCUUAGCCCCUUGACGCCCGCUCAAUGUCCGCUUGACGCCUCUUGGCCGCUCGACGCCGCUCGGCCCGCUCGGCUCCUCGACGCCCGCUCGACGCCGCUCAGCCCCCUUGAUGCCCUUGACGCCCGCUCGAUGCCUCUCGGCCCCUUGAAGCCCCCUCGACGCCGCUCGGCCCCUCGACGCCGCGCGACCCCCUCGACGCUCGCUCGACCCCCUCGACACCGCCCGAUGUCCCUUGAUACCGCUCACUGCCCUCGACACCGAAUAAACUUGCCUCCUCCAGCCUCAAUCACAGGGGACUUGUGAAUGAUACGUACAAGAUGGACCUCAUUCUUGUGCAUCCUCCUCACUUGAUUGCACUGGCUUGCAUAUACAUUGCAAGCGUAUACAAAGACAAGGACACUACCUCAUGGUUUGAAGAGCUUCACGUUGACAUGAAUGUUUUGAGUUUGAAUCUCUUAAGUUUUCUUUCUUUUUCAUAUCUAUACCCAUUGCAUAAGCCUAAAGAAGAUUAUCUUCGUUUUUCCUUGUAUGUCUCUGAGGCCCUUAUGGCUGGACUUGCUGCUGGUGUAGCACAAUCCCUUAUAAGCUCUCCAUUUGAACUUCUCAAACUACGUUCACAGGUGACCACUGCUUCUCGUGUUUCAUCCUCUGCAUACAUCAGAGCAGAGCCAGCUGCUUCACCUGUAAUUGAAAUGUUACUAAAAGGAUAUAGCCCAGAUAAGCGAGUCUUGAGCGAGUAUGUUGGCUUUUUGUCCACCUUAACCACCAAGCAUCCUAAUAUGGCAGCCGCCUAGCAAGAGUACCCAUGGAUGAUGACUGGGUCUAGCAGGCCACCUUCUAUAUGUGAUAAAAGAGGCCAUCAGACAUCAUUUCUUUGGAAGGUUGGUAAGCACUAUGGAGAGGGCUCCGAUCUAGAAUUGCUUGAGAUUCCUUUUAUGCAGGCAUAUUCUUUUCUAAUUGGCAAUUCAUGCACCGAGCUAUGCUUGACUGGAAGGCAGUAGGGAUGGAUCCUAAACCAAGGGUACUUGAUGUGCAUUCUUGAAGAGAAACUUGAUGAAAUGACCUUAGCAAGGCUUGAAGAUUUUGAAUAUGUUGUGAGUUCAUUCUCCAUUAAAUGCUUAAGUCAUCCAAUUGCACAAUGAGGAUGAGGCUGAAUAUGAUGUUGAUGUGUCUGCUGAUUUGGAUAAUACCAAUUAUUUGGUAUCCAGAAACCAGAUGGAUAACUCAAUAAAUUCACUUAUUGAGAGUUUCUAGGCCUUGAUUGCAAUCGUUGCUAGCUUGGAAAUCAGCCACCGUGGGAUUUGGAAUUUUUUUAGGCAGAAACAGUUCCUGAUGGAUUCAUGCUCAAUGUUGUGCAAAGGGAGGACCUGGCAUCGCCAAAUAGAAGCGGGACUACAGCUGUGAAGUCCCCAAAUGCUUGCAACUGGAUUCGCUGGAGAAGGAGAUGGAUGUGUGUUCGACAUCUGAAUUUUUUUAGGUAUGCUGUUGGUACUUUUUUUUUAGUCUGAUAUAGCAAAACUAAGUUUGCUUGUAAACUUAAGAGUGGUUUGGAAUAUCACAAUGCUGGCUUAUAACAUCAGACACAGCUUUUCCUUA